UGCCCAGCAACUCCUAUCCCUACUUCACGUGGUACCAGCCGAAAACUAAUAGCAACCUUAGGGAAGAUCGGGUAACCAACCCCGGUGGGAACUUUGGUCGUAGGCUGACAGGGAAGG
rnacentral:ribozyme from 1 species